GGAGCUACAGGAACUUUGCCAGCCCCCAGCAGGUGCUGGACCUGCUUUUCCUCAGGUACGAAAACAUGGUUUCUGUCUGUCACGGGGCUGGCAAAUCCCUGAAGCAGCUAAAAUGUGCCAUGUCCUCCAUCCUAAAGAUCUGGCUGGAAUUCUAUUCCACUGAUUUCCACGAGCCUCCUGGAUUUCAUUCCUUGAAGUUUCUG